rnacentral:rRNA from 1 species
CCCGCGUUGGAUUAGCCAGUUGGCAGGGUAACGGCCUACCAAAGCGACGAUCCAUAGCCGGCCUGAGAGGGCGACCGGCCACAUUGGGACUGAGACACGGCCCAGACUCCUACGGGAGGCAGCAGUGGGGAAUAUUGCACAAUGGGGGAAACCCUGAUGCAGCGACGCCGCGUGGAGGAAGAAGGUCUUCGGAUUGUAAACUCCUGUUGUUGGGGAAAAGAGGAUGGUACCUGACUAAGAAGCCCCGGCUAACUAC